rnacentral:tRNA from 1 species
GGAGAGGUGUCCGAGCGGCUGAAGGAGCAGCACUGGAAAUGCUGUAUACGGGUAACCGUAUCGGGGGUUCGAAUCCCCCCCUCUCCG